rnacentral:rRNA from 1 species
UACAGAGGUGGCAAGCGUUGUUCGGAAUUACUGGGCGUAAAGGGCGCGUAGGCGGUCCGAUAAGUCCCGUGUGAAAUCCCUGGGCUCAACCCAGGAACUGCGUCCGAUACUGGUUGGCUUGAAUCCGGGAGAGGGACGUGGAAUUCCAGGUGUAGCGGUGAAAUGCGUAGAUAUCUGGAGGAACACCGGUGGCGAAGGCGACGUCCUGGACCGGCAUUGACGCUGAGGCGCGAAAGCCAGGGGAGCAAACGGG